rnacentral:rRNA from 1 species
AGAGUUUGAUCCUGGCUCAGAAUGAACGCUGGCGGCGUGGAUUAGGCAUGCAAGUCGAACGAGAAAGUGGAAUUUAUUUCACGAGUAAAGUGGCGAACGGGUGAGUAACGCGUGGGAAACCUACCCUUGAGUGGGGGAUAACAUUUCUAACGGAAUGCUAAUACCGCAUAAUAUUCUUCAGCGCAUGUUGGAGAAUCGAAGGUGGCCUCUACUUGUAAGCCAUCGCUUAAGGAUGGUCCCGCGUCCAAUUAGCUUGUUGGUAGGGUAAUGGCCUACCAAGGCGACGAUUGGUAGCCGGCCUGAGAGGGUGACCGGCCACACUGGGACUGAGACACGGCCCAGACUCCUACGGGAGGCAGCAGUCGAGAGGCUUCGGCAAUGGGGGAAACCCUGACCGAGCGACGCCGCGUGGACGAUGAAGUAUUUCGGUAUGUAAAGUCCUGUCAUAUGGGAUGAAAAAUCGAUUGGUUAAUAUCCUUUCGAUCUGACAGUACCAUAAGAGGAAGCUCCGGCUAACUCCGUGCCAGCAGCCGCGGUAAUACGGGGGGAGCGAGCGUUAUUCGGAUUCAUUGGGCGUAAAGGGUUCGUAGGCGGUCUGUUUAGUCAGAGGUGAAAUCUAACGGCUUAACCGUUAACCUGCCUUUGAAACUGGCAGACUUGAGUAUUGGAGAGGAAAGCGGAAUUCUUGGUGUAGCGGUGAAAUGCGUGGAUAUCAAGAGGAACACCCGUGGCGAAGGCGGCUUUCUGGCCAAAUACUGACGCUGAGGAACGAAAGCUAGGGGAGCGAACGGGAUUAGAUACCCCGGUAGUCCUAGCCGUAAACGAUGGGCACUAGGUGUAGGAGGUAUCGACCCUUCUUGUGCCGCAGUUAACGCAUUAAGUGCCCCGCCUGGGGAGUACGAUCGCAAGAUUGAAACUCAAAAGGAAUUGACGGGGGCCCGCACCAAGCGGUGGAGCAUGUGGUUUAAUUCGAUGAUACGCGAAGAACCUUACCGGGACUUGACAUGUAGUUGACCGGCAUGGAAACAUGUCCUCUCCUUCGGGAGCGAUUACACAGGUGCUGCAUGGCUGUCGUCAGCUCGUGUCGUGAGAUGUUGGGUUAAGUCCCGCAACGAGCGCAACCCUUAUCCUUAGUUGCCAUCAGGUUAUGCUGGGAACUCUAAGGAGACUGCCGGUGAUAAACCGGAGGAAGGUGGGGAUGACGUCAAGCCCUCAUGGCCCUUACGUCCCGGGCUACACACGUGCUACAAUGGCAGAUACAGAGGGCAGCAAGACCGCGAGGUGGAGCGAAUCCCAGAAAAUCUGUCUCAGUACGGAUUGCAGUCUGCAACUCGACUGCAUGAAGGCGGAAUCGCUAGUAAGCGCGGAUCAGCAGGCCGCGCUGAAUACGUUCCCGGGCCUUGUACACACCGCCCGUCAAGCGAUGGAAGCUGGUGGUACCCGAAGUCGGUGACCUAACCCGUAAGGGAUGGAGCCGCCGAAGGUAAAACUAGUGACUGGCGCUAAGUCGUAACAAGGUA